GAUGAACGCUAGCUACAGGCUUAACACAUGCAAGUCGAGGGGUAACAAGAGAAAAGCUUGCUUUUCUUGUUGACGACCGGCGCACGGGUGAGUAACGCGUAUCCAACCUGCCUAUAACUAGGGAAUAACCUUGCGAAAGUAAGACUAAUACCCUAUGAUUUCCUUUGAUGACAUCAGAUUAGGAAUAAAGAUUUAUCGGUUAUAGAUGGGGAUGCGUCUGAUUAGCUUGUUGGCGGGGUAACGGCCCACCAAGGCAACGAUCAGUAGGGGUUCUGAGAUGAAGGUCCCCAACAUUGGAACUGCGACACGGUCCAAACUCCUACGGGAGGCAGCAGUGAGGAAUAUUGGUCCAUGGGCGGAAGCCUGAACCAGCCAAGUAGCGUGCAGGAUGACGGCCCUAUGGGUUGUAAACUGCUUUUAUACAGGAAUAAAGUUAGCCACGUGUGGUUAUUUGUAGGUACUGUAUGAAUAAGGACCGGCUAAUUCCGUGCCAGCCGCCGCCGUAA
rnacentral:rRNA from 1 species